UAAUACGGGGGGUGCGAGCGUUGUCCGGAAUCACUGGGCGUAAAGGGCGCGUAGGUGGCGUCGUAAGUUUGUGGUGAAAGCCUGGGGCUCAACCCCAGGUCUGCCGCGAAUACUGCGAGGCUUGAGUACUGUAGAGGCAGGUAGAAUAUCGGGUGUAGCGGUGGAAUGCGUAGAGAUCCGAUAGAAGACCGGUGGCGAAGGCGGCCUGCUGGGCAGUAACUGACACUGAGGCGCGACAGCGUGGGGAGCAAACAGGAUUAGAUACCCUGGUAGUCCACGCCGUAAACGAUGGGUACUAGGUGCUUGGGGGAGCGACCCCCUGAGUGCCGGCGCUAACGCAGGAAGUACCCCGCCUGGGGAGUACGGCCGCAAGGCUG
rnacentral:rRNA from 1 species